UUUCAUGAUGAUCAAGGGUCCGUGACCCGAUUUCUUAACCCAGCUCGUCGAAUGUCCUCACAAAUAACGCAGAGGACGUACUGAGAGAACAUUUAUUCUGAUUUU
rfam:Magnaporthe oryzae 70-15 chromosome 2, whole genome shotgun sequence.